CAUCUCCGGGGGUAGAGCACUGUUUCGGCUAGGGGGCCAUCCCGGCUUACCAACCCGAUGCAAACUGCGAAUACCGGAGAAUGUUAUCACGGGAGACACACGGCGGGUGCUAACGUCCGUCGUGAAGAGGGAAACAACCCAGACCGCCAGCUAAGGUCCCAAAGUCAUGGUUAAGUGGGAAACGAUGUGGGAAGGCCCAGACAGCCAGGAUGUUGGCUUAGAAGCAGCCAUCAUUUAAAGAAAGCGUAAUAGCUCACUGGUCGAGUCGGCCUGCGCGGAAGAUGUAACGGGGCUAAACCAUGCACCGAAGCUGCGGCAGCGA
rnacentral:rRNA from 1 species